GUUGUAUGGUUAAGUGACUAAGCGUAUACGGUGGAUGCCUUGGCAAAUAGAGGCGAUGAAGGACGUGUAAGUCUGCGAAAAGCUGUGGUGAGUUGACAAAACGCAUUUGAGCCACAGAUGUCCGAAUGGGGGAACCCACUGCUUCGGCAGUAUCUGCAACUGAAUACAUAGGUUGUAGAGGCAAACGAGGGGAACUGAAACAUCUAAGUACCCUUAGGAAAAGAAAUCAACCGAGAUUCCCUUAGUAGCGGCGAGCGAAAGGGGAGCAGCCGAUAAACAAAGUGUUAGUGGAAUCUUCUGGAAAGUUGAGCGAUACAGGGUGAUAGCCCCGUACAUGAAGAUGCUUUGUUUACAUAUUAAGUAGGUCGGGACACGUGUUAUCUUGACUGAAGAUGGGGGGACCAUCCUCCAAGGCUAAAUACUCCUAUUUGACCGAUAGUGAACCAGUACCGUGAGGGAAAGGCGAAAAGAACCCCUGUGAGGGGAGUGAAAUAGAACCUGAAACCGUAUACGUACAAGCAGUGGGAGCCCUUCGGGGUGACUGCGUACCUUUUGUAUAAUGGGUCAGCGACUUAUAUUUAGUAGCAAGGUUAACCGUUUAGGGGAGCCGUAGCGAAAGCGAGUGUUAACUGCGCGUCUAGUUGCUAGGUAUAGACCCGAAACCCGGUGAUCUAGCCAUGGGCAGGUUGAAGGUUGAGUAACAUCAACUGGAGGACCGAACCCACUAACGUUGAAAAGUUAGGGGAUGACUUGUGGCUGGGGGUGAAAGGCCAAUCAAACCGGGAGAUAGCUGGUUCUCCCCGAAAUCUAUUUAGGUAGAGCCUCGGACGAAUUCCUUUGGGGGUAGAGCACUGUUAAGGCUAGGGGGUCAUCCCGACUUACCAACCCUUUGCAAACUCCGAAUACCAAAGAGAACUAUCCGGGAGACACACGGCGGGUGCUAACGUCCGUCGUGAAGAGGGAAACAACCCAGACCGCCAGCUAAGGUCCCAAAAUAUUGCUAAGUGGGAAACGAUGUGGGAAGGCCCAGACAGCUAGGAGGUUGGCUUAGAAGCAGCCACCCUUUAAAGAAAGCGUAAUAGCUCACUAGUCGAGUCGGCCUGCGCGGAAGAUGUAACGGGGCUAAGCAAUAUACCGAAGCUGCGGCAGCAUGUUUACAUGCUGGGUAGGGGAGCGUUCUGUAAGCCGCUGAAGGUGAACUGUGAAGUUUGCUGGAGGUAUCAGAAGUGCGAAUGCUGACAUGAGUAACGAUAAUGCGGGUGAAAAACCCGCACGCCGGAAGACCAAGGUUUCCUGUCCCAUGCUAAUCAGGGCAGGGUAAGUCGGCCCCUAAGGCGAGGCAGAAAUGCGUAGUCGAUGGGAAACGGGUUAAUAUUCCCGUACUUAUAUAAUCAGUGAUGGAGGGACGGAGAAGGCUAGGCAAGCUUGGCGUUGGUUGUCCAAGUGAAAGUGCGUAGGCUGAGAAAUUAGGUAAAUCCGGUUUCUUAAGGCUGAGACACGAGACGAGCCACCAAGGUGGUGAAGUUGUUGAUGCCCUGCUUCCAGGAAAAGCUUCUAAACUUAUGAUUAUGUGAACCGUACCCCAAACCGACACAGGUGGUCAGGUAGAGAAUACUAAGGCGCUUGAGAGAACUCGGGUAAAGGAACUCGGCAAAAUUGUACCGUAACUUCGGGAGAAGGUACGCCCCUGAUUGUGAUAGGACUUGCUCCUUAAGCAGUCGGGGGUCGCAGUGACCAGGUGGCUGGGACUGUUUAUUAAAAACACAGCACUCUGCAAACUCGAAAGAGGACGUAUAGGGUGUGACACCUGCCCGGUGCCGGAAGGUUAAUUGAUGGGGUUAGCGUAAGCGAAGCUCUUGAUCGAAGCCCCGGUAAACGGCGGCCGUAACUAUAACGGUCCUAAGGUAGCGAAAUUCCUUGUCGGGUAAGUUCCGACCUGCACGAAUGGUGUAACCAUGGCCACGCUGUCUCUACCCGAGACUCAGUGAAAUUGAAAUCGCAGUGAAGAUGCUGUGUACCCGCACCUAGACGGAAAGACCCCGUGAACCUUUACUACAGCUUGGCACUGAACAUUGAACCUACUUGUGUAGGAUAGGUGGGAGGCUUUGAAGCAGAGACGCUAGUUUCUGUGGAGCCGUCCUUGAAAUACCACCCUGGUAUGUUUGAUGUUCUAACAUAGGUCCCUAAUCGGGAUUGUGGACAGUGUCUGGUGGGUAGUUUGACUGGGGCGGUCUCCUCCCAAAUAGUAACGGAGGAGCACGAAGGUUAGCUAAUCACGGUCGGACAUCGUGAGGUUAGUGCAAUGGCAUAAGCUAGCUUAACUGCGAGACAGACACGUCGAGCAGGUACGAAAGUAGGUCAUAGUGAUCCGGUGGUUCUGUAUGGAAGGGCCAUCGCUCAACGGAUAAAAGGUACUCCGGGGAUAACAGGCUGAUACCGCCCAAGAGUUCAUAUCGACGGCGGUGUUUGGCACCUCGAUGUCGGCUCAUCACAUCCUGGGGCUGAAGUCGGUCCCAAGGGUAUGGCUGUUCGCCAUUUAAAGUGGUACGCGAGCUGGGUUUAGAACGUCGUGAGACAGUUCGGUCCCUAUCUGGUGUGGGCGUUGGAUGAUUGAGGGGAGCUGCUCCUAGUACGAGAGGACCGGAGUGGACGAACCGCUGGUGUUCGGGUUGUUUUGCCAAAGGCAUUGCCCGGUAGCCAAGUUCGGAAUCGAUAACCGCUGAAAGCAUCUAAGCGGGAAGCGAGCCCCAAGAUGAGUCAUCCCUGGACUUAAGUCCUGGAAGGGUUGUUAUAGACUAUGACGUUGAUAGGCAGGAUGUGGAAGCGUUGCAAGGCGUUAAGCUAACCUGUACUAAUUGCCCGAGAGGCUUAACCAUACAACGCCUAAGUAGCUUUACU
rnacentral:rRNA from 1 species